GCCGUGGUAGCUCAGCUGGGAGAGCGAUAGACUGAAGACCGUCCCGAAUCGGGUUUGAAUCUUCUGCGAUCUACAGGUCAUCGGUUCAAUCCCGAUUCAUGGCA